UAAAAGGUAAUUGACCACCUUCACGAGUGCAGUCUCGGUGCUAUGAUGCGGUCUAAAACCAGACUGAAGCAUUUCGUAUAUACAUUAUUUGUCUUCAGGAAGGCAGUGAGUUGCUGCACAACAGCUUGUUCAAAACAUUUUGAGAGCAAUGGGAGAUUUGAAUAGGCCGAUAGCGUUUUACAUUUUCCAAGUCAAGGUUUGGCUUUUUCAAGAAAGGCUUUAUUACUGAUACUUUUAGUGAGUUUGGUACACAUCCGUUGGAUGUGUUAUUAUGUUCAACAUAGGAGGGCCAAGCACAGGAAUUAUCUCUUUCAGUAGUUUAGUUGGAAUAGGGUCCAGUAUGACAGUUUAGAGGCCAUGACUACUUUCAUGAAUGUGUAAAGAGAUACAGGAUUUUAAAAACUUGAGUGUCUCCAUUGAUCCAGGUCCUGGGAGUUCUGUGCAGAUCAGGACAACUGAGCUUUGGAGAAAUACGCAGAUUCAAAGUGGAGUCCGUAAUGAUCGUGAUCUUUUCAUCAAAGAAGUUAAUGAAUUUAUCACUGCUGAAGUGAAAGCUGUCCUCUUUUGUUGAAUGCUGCUUUUUAGUUAGCUUUGCGACAGUAUCAAAAAUUAAUUUAGGAUUGUUCUUAUUCUCCUCAAUUAGGUUGGAAACAUAGGAUGAUCUAGCAGCAGUGAGGGCUCUUCGAUAUUGCACAGUACAGUCUUACAAGCUAGUCGGAAGACAUCCAGUUUGGUGGCGUGCCAUUUCCUUUCCAAUUUUCUGGAAGCUUGCUUCAGGGCUCGGUAUUUUCUGUAUACCAGGAAGCAAAUGUUUUGUGACAAAUAUUUUUUGUUCUUAGGGGAUCGACUGCAUCUAGGGUAUUACGCAAAGAUCGCGCUGAAAGUCCUGCCUCUCCCAUCUCCCAUUUGAUGUUGCAUUUUAUUUCAUCAGAGGAACAAAAACGGCACAAAACAGGCUUCUUAUGAAGCUGCAGAUGUAAAGGACACAUUUUGCAUCAUGAUGAAUCUACAGCAGGCAAGUCAAGUAGUCUGCCGACAGUGCAGAGGCUGAUGCUGCUUCCACUCUACGAUGGGUACACUUCAACCAUCUUGGACUUCCUUGGGGACACUUUUAGACCAUGGUAAAGCUAGGACAAUAUGUCCACACCAUCUCCAACUACAAGACCAGAACAUGAUCAAAUGAACAAUGAACCCCCCCCCCCCUUCCUCAGUGCAACCAUCAGUCCAAGCCCCAAUGGACCAGGGACAAAGUCGGUCAAGUCCCGAUGGAGAGACACCCCAGUCCUCCAGAAGGAGAUUCCAUCCCAGUGGGACUAAUCAGGCAAAGAAGGGGGUAUAUGCCAAAGUUCUUGCUUACCUACGUGAACAACCACCCACAGCCACAGAGUCUGAUCCAUCUGUAGUUUUUGGGAUGCUACCAAGACUUCACUUGAUGUCCAAAAGUGGACCUCCAGCAACUGCUGCUAAAGUAUCUGUUUCAAGAUUUGAACAGCGAGUGAGAAUUGCGAGAGCGGAGAUAUUGCAAUGGUGAAUUAUGUUUGUAUGUAUUCAUUGUGCAUACAUUAUUAAAUCGAUUAUCCUACAG